AUGGCAAGUAAAAUGGGUAGUUGCAGCAUAACAGUAGGUUCCGCACAGACAGGUUAUGUGGUAAAUGCUUCAUUUGUUUUCCUGCUCUCUACCCUUAUGAAUUCGCUCUGGUGUCUUUGGCUUCAUUAGAGGAAUAUGAUUGAUCUAGAUAUUGUAUGCUACGAUGCGCGGAUUGUUAAGUUGCAAGAAAAAACGAAUCCUGUUUCAGGUAGGUUGUUGUUGUCUGACAAGAAUUUUCCCAAACAUGAAACGGGAGGGCUCUCGUUCCCAGAUUAAACGACUAUGCCUGACCCAUCAAAUGUGGAAAGGUUAAUGAUUAUUGUUUUAUAGUACGUCAUAAUUUUAUUGAUGUCUUGUACAUAUUAUUAUAUUAUAACCUACGGAGCAUUUGCGAUCAAAAUACAAUACUUAAAAGUUCCAAUAAUAUAUGUAUGUAUAUUUUUUUGAAUUCAUAUUUUGAUGCUUCUCAUUUUUGGGCAUUAUAUUUAUAAUAAGACUUUCUAUUAUAUGUUGUGUAAAUGAGUUGUAUGUCUUAAGUUAUUAAAUUAUGUUAGAAAUUGUAAAUGAAUUGGAGAAUACAAGUUUCUAUGAAUUUCAAAAUAGCAUACAAACAAAGGACAUAUUUCAAAAACUUAUAAAAGUAAAGUAUUCUUACUAUAAAUAUAAUAUUAAGUUUAUGAUGGGUAUAGCCGUGAAUGUUAAUAAUUGAAUU